AAAUUGAAGAGUUUGAUCAUGGCUCAGAUUGAACGCUGGCGGCAGGCCUAACACAUGCAAGUCGAACGGUAACAGGAAGCAGCUUGCUGCUUCGCUGACGAGUGGCGGACGGGUGAGUAAUGUCUGGGAAACUGCCUGAUGGAGGGGGAUAACUACUGGAAACGGUAGCUAAUACCGCAUAACGUCGCAAGACCAAAGAGGGGGACCUUCGGGCCUCUUGCCAUCGGAUGUGCCCAGAUGGGAUUAGCUAGUAGGUGGGGUAACGGCUCACCUAGGCGACGAUCCCUAGCUGGUCUGAGAGGAUGACCAGCCACACUGGAACUGAGACACGGUCCAGACUCCUACGGGAGGCAGCAGUGGGGAAUAUUGCACAAUGGGCGCAAGCCUGAUGCAGCCAUGCCGCGUGUAUGAAGAAGGCCUUCGGGUUGUAAAGUACUUUCAGCGGGGAGGAAGGGAGUAAAGUUAAUACCUUUGCUCAUUGACGUUACCCGCAGAAGAAGCACCGGCUAACUCCGUGCCAGCAGCCGCGGUAAUACGGAGGGUGCAAGCGUUAAUCGGAAUUACUGGGCGUAAAGCGCACGCAGGCGGUUUGUUAAGUCAGAUGUGAAAUCCCCGGGCUCAACCCGGGAACUGCAUCUGAUACUGGCAAGCUUGAGUCUCGUAGAGGGGGGUAGAAUUCCAGGUGUAGCGGUGAAAUGCGUAGAGAUCUGGAGGAAUACCGGUGGCGAAGGCGGCCCCCUGGACGAAGACUGACGCUCAGGUGCGAAAGCGUGGGGAGCAAACAGGAUUAGAUACCCUGGUAGUCCACGCCGUAAACGAUGUCGACUUGGAGGUUGUGCCCUUGAGGCGUGGCUUCCGGAGCUAACGCGUUAAGUCGACCGCCUGGGAGUACGGCCGCAAGGUUAAAACUCAAAUGAAUUGACGGGGGCCCGCACAAGCGGUGGAGCAUGUGGUUUAAUUCGAUGCAACGCGAAGAACCUUACCUGGUCUUGACAUCCACAGAACUUUCCAGAGAUGGAUUGGUGCCUUCGGGAACUGUGAGACAGGUGCUGCAUGGCUGUCGUCAGCUCGUGUUGUGAAAUGUUGGGUUAAGUCCCGCAACGAGCGCAACCCUUAUCCUUUGUUGCCAGCGGUCCGGCCGGGAACUCAAAGGAGACUGCCAGUGAUAAACUGGAGGAAGGUGGGGAUGACGUCAAGUCAUCAUGGCCCUUACGACCAGGGCUACACACGUGCUACAAUGGCGCAUACAAAGAGAAGCGACCUCGCGAGAGCAAGCGGACCUCAUAAAGUGCGUCGUAGUCCGGAUUGGAGUCUGCAACUCGACUCCAUGAAGUCGGAAUCGCUAGUAAUCGUGGAUCAGAAUGCCACGGUGAAUACGUUCCCGGGCCUUGUACACACCGCCCGUCACACCAUGGGAGUGGGUUGCAAAAGAAGUAGGUAGCUUAACCUUCGGGAGGGCGCUUACCACUUUGUGAUUCAUGACUGGGGUGAAGUCGUAACAAGGUAACCGUAGGGGAACCUGCGGUUGGAUCACCUCCUUA
rnacentral:rRNA from 1 species